AUUGAACGCUGGCGGCAUGCCUUACACAUGCAAGUCGAACGGCAGCACGGGUGCUUGCACCUGGUGGCGAGUGGCGAACGGGUGAGUAAUACAUCGGAACAUGUCCUGUAGUGGGGGAUAGCCCGGCGAAAGCCGGAUUAAUACCGCAUACGAUCCACGGAUGAAAGCGGGGGCCCUUCGGGCCUCGCGCUAUAGGGUUGGCCGAUGGCUGAUUAGCUAGUUGGUGGGGUAAAGGCCUACCAAGGCGACGAUCAGUAGCUGGUCUGAGAGGACGACCAGCCACACUGGGACUGAGACACGGCCCAGACCCCUACGGGAGGCAGCAGUGGGGAAUUUUGGACAAUGGGCGAAAGCCUGAUCCAGCAAUGCCGCGUGUGUGAAGAAGGCCUUCGGGUUGUAAAGCACUUUUGUCCGGAAAGAAAUCCUUGACUCUAAUACAGUCGGGGGAUGACGGUACCGGAAGAAUAAGCACCGGCUAACUACGUG
rnacentral:rRNA from 1 species